rnacentral:tRNA from 1 species
GGGCCCGUGGUAUACCGGUAACACGCUUGCAUGGCAUGCAAGAGUAGCGGGUUCGAUUCCCGCCGGGUCCA